rnacentral:rRNA from 1 species
GUCGUCAGCUCGUGUCGUGAGAUGUUCGGUCUAAGUCCGCUAACGAGCGCAACCUCGUCGUAUGUUAUAUGUGUCAUACGAGACUGCCGGUAAAAAGCCGGAGGAAGGUGAGGAUGAUGUCAAGUCAGCAUGACCUUUAUAUCCAGGGCUACACACACGCUACAAUGGUCUGUACAAUGGGUAGCCAAGCCGCGAGGCGGAGCCAAUCCUGAAAGCAGGCCUCAGUUCAGAUUGCAGUCUGCAACUCGACUGCAUGAAGCCGGAGUUGCUAGUAACCGCAGGUCAGCAAUACUGCGGUGAAUACGUUCCCGGGUCUU